rnacentral:rRNA from 1 species
GACUACUGGGGUAUCUAAUCCUGUUUGCUCCCCACGCUUUCGCGCCUCAGCGUCAGUAUCGGACCAGGUCGCCGCCUUCGCCACCGGUGUUCUUCCCAAUAUCUACGAAUUUCACCUCUACACUGGGAAUUCCACGACCCUCUUCCGAACUCAAGAUCGCACGUAUCAAAUGCAGCCCCCAGGUUGAGCCCGGGAAUUUCACAUCUGACUGUACAAUCCGCCUACGCGCCCUUUACGCCCAGUCAUUCCGAGCAACGCUAGCCCCCUUCGUAUUACCGCGGCUGCUGGCACGAAGUUAGCCGGGGCUUCUUCUACGGGUACCGUCAUCAUCGUCCCCGUCGAAAGUGCUUUACAAUCCGAAGACCUUCUUCACACACGCGGCAUUGCUGGAUCAGGCUUGCGCCCAUUGUCCAAUAUUCCCCACUGCAGCCUCCCGUAGG